CGCCAGACUCCUACGGGAGGCAGCAGUGGGGAAUAUUGCACAAUGGGGGAAACCCUGAUGCAGCGACGCCGCGUGAGCGAUGAAGUAUUUCGGUAUGUAAAGCUCUAUCAGCAGGGAAGAAAAUGACGGUACCUGACUAAGAAGCCCCGGCUAACUACGUGCCAGCAGCCGCGGUAAUACGUAGGGGGCAAGCGUUAUCCGGAUUUACUGGGUGUAAAGGGGGCGCAGACGGCGAUGCAAGCCAGGAGUGAAAGCCCGGGGCCCAACCCCGGGACUGCUCUUGGAACUGCGUGGCUGGAGUGCAGGAGGGGCAGGCGGAAUUCCUGGUGUAGCGGUGAAAUGCGUAGAUAUCAGGAGGAACACCGGUGGCGAAGGCGGCCUGCUGGACUGCAACUGACGUUGAGGCCCGAAAGCGUGGGGAGCAAACAGGAUUAGAUACCCUUGUAG
rnacentral:rRNA from 1 species